GAUGAACGCUGGCGGCGUGCCUAAUACAUGCAAGUCGAGCGAACAGACGAGGAGCUUGCUCCUCUGACGUUAGCGGCGGACGGGUGAGUAACACGUGGAUAACCUACCUAUAAGACUGGGAUAACUUCGGGAAACCGGAGCUAAUACCGGAUAAUAUAUUGAACCGCAUGGUUCAAUAGUGAAAGACGGUUUUGCUGUCACUUAUAGAUGGAUCCGCGCCGCAUUAGCUAGUUGGUAAGGUAACGGCUUACCAAGGCAACGAUGCGGAGCCGACCUGAGAGGGUGAUCGGCCACACUGGAACUGAGACACGGUCCAGACUCCUACGGGAGGCAGCAGUAGGGAAUCUUCCGCAAUGGGCGAAAGCUUGACGGAGCAACGCCGCGUGAGUGAUGAAGGUCUUCGGAUCGUAAAACUCUGUUAUUAGGGAAGAACAAAUGUGUAAGUAACUAUGCACGUCUUGACGGUACCUAAUCAGAAAGCCACGGCUAACUACGUG
rnacentral:rRNA from 1 species